UACACAUCCCUGAUCCGUCACGGGAAUCUGAGAGUAACGUCCCUUGCAUUGCUCUCCGGGAGAUGACAGGGAGGCGAGUUUGUCUUAUACGGAUGUAAACACGAGCGCGGAAGAUGUGGAAAUGAACAACAUUCAAAGUAAAUAUCCGUGCAAUGUGAUUCUAGCAUACAUUAACAUUAAUAGUUUGCGUUACAAAUUCAGUGCACUCAGUGAUGUGUUACAUAAUUCCCUCGCUGACAUCCUGAUCGUAGGCGAGACGAAACUAAACGACUCGUUCAAUCAGGCCCAUUUUGAAACCACAGGUUUCAGGGUUUUUAGGAAGGUUGGAACUGGACAUGGUGGUGGUCUCAUGUGUUUUGUUAAUUCCCACCUCCCCUGCAGAAGAAGACCAGAUCUUGAGUCAACUUUAGUCGAGAGCGUAGUAGUUGAGGUCACUAUUAAUAAUCCCUUCCGACCAGGAUUUGGGUGUCAAUCCACCCUGUUGCGACUUGUUGAGGAUUGGCGUAGAGCCCUGGACAACCAUGAGUAUGUCGCUGUCAUACUGAUGGACCUAUCCAAGGCUUUGACUGUCUUCCUCAUAACUUGUUGGUCGGGAAGCUGGAGACCUAUGGCCUGAGCAAAGCCUCAUGAUCAGUUAACCUGGCGUCCAUCUACCUGAGCAACAGGAAGUAGCAGAGAACACCAACUUGUUUGUUAUGACGCACACGAUGUCCUAAACAGUGACUCUACAAUAGCGACCCUCUGGACGGUGUUCAAGAAGGAAGGAAAUGUCAUCUACUUUAAAGCCAAGGUGAAUUCCCGUCGAAUUCCAUAUCAAGAAGUGGGAAGGUCUAGGCUGAAUUGGGGUAAUGGAGAGUAUUACUCACAUUGAUGUACAUGUAUAAUUAUUGUUACAGGGUACAGGGUACACCGACUUGUCAGCUGUGACGCACACCAUGUCCUAGACAGUGACUCUACAAUGGCGUCCUCCUGAACGGUGUUCAAGAAGGAAGGAAAAUUCAACUACUGAAAAGCCAGGGCGCGGUAAAUAUCUAUCAUCGAAAACCAGAUCGUACCUGUCAGCUAUGAAGCACACAACAUCCUAAGGAUUGACUCUUUCAUGGUGUCCUUCUGAAAGUUUUCGUCAGAAUUGGUUUCCAUCAAAAGGCUAAGGUAUGGUACAUUUUGUAUAUUGUAGUUUCAUAAAUGUUCGCUGUUUUUUCAAGCUGAAACUUGAAGGAUGCUUGUCGUGACAAUAGCUGUGUCAAAUAAAUACGAAAGACAGUGUAGCUAUCAAUUGAAGCUGUCGACUGCUAUGUAUAGCUGUUUCGUAAUCCAUAAAGGUAUAUUUUAAAUAUCUUGUUGAAAUCUAUGAACGAAUAGAUUAACAGUUUAUAGUGUAAUCAGUUACUUGAUAACCUUACUGCAGGUGUUUCUUAUUGUUUUGAUAUAUGAUUUAAAUCUCCAUUUAGUACAGGAACAGGUAAUCUUAAUAUUGAGUUGAGGGAAAAUAUCCAUUAACCAUCUCUUUCAAAAGUGUCAUUCAUGAGCGGUAACUCUGACAACACACAUGGGAUCUGCACACUUAAAUUGGUGUUCAAUACGUAUUGUUACGUUACUCUAGGCGUUGCAUUCCUAUGUUCCGUUCAAAGCUACAGUUGGGAGCAAACUUAAUUUGGUAACUAGUGCACUUCGUAGUGCACAUGUAGUGAACAAGGAAGUGCACUAGACAAACAUUGAAGUGCACUCUAGUUCACUUCAGUGUUUACUCCAUUGCACGAUGAUGUUAGCUCCAGUGCAUAACGAUGUGAACCCCAGUGCACUAGUGUUAACUAAAGUUUAAAAGACUGUAAUACAAAUUUCAAUAAUUGUUUAUAAUAAACUAGCUCACUCAUGAUUUCAUAAACAUUUUAUUGAGAAUUUCACUAUAUCUAUAAAAAAAUAAUCUCUGAUUAAUCAUAUUUCAACUGGACAUACACUUGUACAAAGAAAAACUGUACGCUAUAUAUUAUAUGUUGAUUACAGAAAAUAUAUAAAUAGUUGUAUUAUUAGGAAAAUAGUUAAAAAGAUAACCUGAUCAUAGUUUAAUUCCCAUCACAUUUAAUAUCAAUAUUGUAGUGUCAGGAUGGGGGAUCAGUAACUGUUAUGUGAUAUGGAUAAAUACUUUUUUUAUGAAAGGUUUCUCACUUUCAGGACAUCAAUAGAGUAAUUUCUUUGUUUUAUUAAAAAGGUCAAUGACUUCAUUAGUUCCGUCUCAUAUACAGCACUAAAACAUAUGUAUUACAAGUUUUAUACAAAAAAAACCAAAACAUUCCAGAUACAUCUUAUAUCAUUACAUUGCACUGUAUAAACACAAGUAACAGCUCAAGCUAUCGAUGUGGAAUUAAUUAAAGCCCGUUAAUCCAACGUUGUCUUCUGUUAGGAAAAUGAAGACAAAACAAUCCAUAAGUCAGUCUGAUUUAUAUUGCUUUGUUACAUAUGUAUACACGUCACGUACAUGUACAUGCUGAUUUUUUAAUAAGAAAAUCCACCCCCCCUACCGCCAACCCCUACCUGGGUCUACUGUGUUCCCCACAACAAUGUAGCAGGUAUACAGCUGGCCUGGUGUUACAUUAAUGAAUUACCAGUUGUUAGAAUGAUGACAACAUUCAUAGUUAAAGGGCGUAAACAUAUGUAGAUUAAGUUUUAUACAGG
rnacentral:misc_RNA from 1 species